CAUGUAGGCGGUCUUUUAAGUCGGUUGUGAAAUCCCUUGGCUUAACCAAGGAACUGCAACCGAUACUGGAAGACUUGAGUGCAGGAGAGGAAAGCGGAAUUCCCGGUGUAAGAGUGAAAUCUGUAGAGAUCGGGAGGAACACCAGUGGCGAAGGCGGCUUUCUGGUCUGCAACUGACGCUGAAAUGCGAAAGCUAGGGGAGCAAACAGGAUUAGAUACCCUGGUAGUCC
rnacentral:rRNA from 1 species